rnacentral:rRNA from 1 species
AAACCAACCGGGAUUGCCUCAGUAACGGCGAGUGAAGCGGCAAAAGCUCAAAUUUGAAAUCUGGCACUUUCAGUGUCCGAGUUGUAAUUUGUAGAAGUAGUUUUGGGACUGGUCCUUAUCUAUGUUUCUUGGAACAGGACGUCAUAGAGGGUGAGAACCCCGUAUGAUGAGGCCCCCAGUCCUUUGUAAAACGCUUUCGAAGAGUCGAGUUGUUUGGGAAUGCAGCUCUAAGUGGGUGGUAAAUUCCAUCUAAAGCUAAAUAUUGGCGAGAGACCGAUAGCGAACAAGUACAGUGAUGGAAAGAUGAAAAGAACUUUGAAAAGAGAGUGAAAAAGUACGUGAAAUUGUUGAAAGGGAAGGGCAUUUGAUCAGACAUGGUGUUUUGCGCCUUUGCUCCUUGUGGGCGAGGAUACGCAGCUCACUGGGCCAACAUCAGUUUUGGGAGCAGGAUAAAUCUGUAGGAACGUAGCUUUCUUCGGGAAGUGUUAUAGCCUACGGGAUACUGCUACCUGGGACUGAGACCCG